ACAAAAAAGAACAACGUUCAACAUACACUACCAACUAUCGCAAUCAUCAAAAAGAAACAAGGUUUUGCUGACGUUUUGCUGUGUUUUUUUUUUUUUUUUUUUUUC
rnacentral:ribozyme from 1 species